rnacentral:rRNA from 1 species
AUUGAACGCUGGCGACAGGCCUAACACAUGCAAGUCGAACGAGUGGCGGACGGGUGAGUAAUGUCUGGGAAACUGCCUGAUGGAGGGGGAUAACUACUGGAAACGGUAGCUAAUACCGCAUACCAUCGGAUGUGCCCAGAUGGGAUUAGCUAGUAGGUGGGGUAAAGGCUCACCUAGGCGACGAUCCCUAGCUGGUCUGAGAGGAUGACCCGGCAAAACUGAAUCUAGACACGGUCCCAGACCCUACGGGGGGCAGGAGGUGGGAAUAUUUGACAAUGGGCGGAAGCCUGAAGCAGCCAUGCCGCGUGGAAGAAGAAGGCCCUCGGGUUGGAAAGGACUUUUAGCGGGGAGGCGUUACCCGCAGAAGAAGCACCGGCUAACUCCGUGCCAGCAGCCGCGGUAAUAC